GAUGCAAAGUAAACAAGGAGUUAUAUUUUCAGCGAUAUGGACGAUUUAACAUCCAUCAGAUAUGGCGGGAAGAUAUCUUACCUUGCCGUGUAUAUCUUCGACACUGUGUGUUGGCAGCAAAAAAUCUAGGUGAUGCAG